rnacentral:rRNA from 1 species
UACGAAGGGGGCUAGCGUUGUUCGGAAUUACUGGGCGUAAAGCGCGCGCAGGCGGCUAUCCAAGUCAGUGGUGAAAGCCCGGAGCUCAACUCCGGAACUGCCGUUGAAACUGUUUAGCUUGAGGAUGAGAGAGGUGAGUGGAAUUCCCAGUGUAGAGGUGAAAUUCGUAGAUAUUGGGAAGAACACCGGUGGCGAAGGCGGCUCACUGGCUCAUUACUGACGCUCAGGCGCGAUAGCGUGGGGAUCAAACAGG